AAGAAUAUUAUAGUGUCAAACUUUACUCCUAAGCCGUGGAAGAAAAAGUUACAGUGGAUAUUCCAAGCCACUGAAAUAUUUCAAUGGGAAUUUUAACGAGAGUAGAUUCUAUGUUCUUCACCCUGAUUUUCUUCGAUACAUUCGCAACAGAUUCAUGCCAUCCAAACAAAUGCAGGGCAAUUACUGGGCAAUGUACAGACCGACCAAUGGAGCGUUUGCUUUGUUCUUGGCUAUUCACACAUGUGACAUUGUGGAUGUCUAUGGAUUUAUUACAGAAGACCACCAUAAGUACUCCAACUAUUAUUAUGAAAAGUUAAAAAAAACCAGUGUAAUUUUCUUUAUUAACCAUGACUAUGGCCUGGAGAUAAAGACUUGGAAGGAACUGCAUGACUCUGGAAUCAUUAGACUCUUCCAAAGGCACUAACACAUCAAAAACAGAAGGAG